CGCUGGCGGCAUGCCUAACACAUGCAAGUCGAACGGAGUAAUGACUUCGGUUAUUACUUAGUGGCGAACGGGUGAGUAACACGUGAAUAAUCUGCCCUGUACGAUGGGAUAACAGCUGGAAACGGCUGCUAAUACCGUAUAUGACCACGCCGAGGCAUCUCGGAGGGGUGAAAGCGCUUAAGCGGUACAGGAUGAGUUCGCGUCCAAUUAGCUAGUUGGUGAGGUAACGGCCACCAAGGCGACGAUUGGUAGCCGACCUGAGAGGGUGAUCGGCCACACUGGAACUGAGACACGGUCCAGACUCCUACGGGAGGCAGCAGUGGGGAAUAUUGGGCAAUGGAGGAAACUCUUUAACCCCCAGCAAUGCCGCGUGAGUGAUGAAGGUCUUCGGAUUGUAAAGCUCUUUGAUUGGGGACGAAUAAAUGACGGUACCCAAGGAACAAGCCCCGGCUAACUAUGUGCCAGCAGCGGC
rnacentral:rRNA from 1 species